UACGUAGGUGGCAAGCGUUAUCCGGAUUUAUUGGGCGUAAAGGGAACGCAGGCGGUCUUUUAAGUCUGAUGUGAAAGCCUUCGGCUUAACCGGAGUAGUGCAUCGGAAACUGUUUUUCUUGAGUGCAGAAGAGGAGAGUGGAACUCCAUGUGUAGCGGUGGAAUGCGUAGAUAUAUGGAAGAACACCAGUGGCGAAGGCGGCUCUCUGGUCUGUAACUGACGCUGAGGUUCGAAAGCGUGGGUAGCAAACAGG
rnacentral:rRNA from 1 species